rnacentral:rRNA from 1 species
AGGAUUAACGCUGGCGGCGUGCCUAGCACAUGCAAGUCGAACGAGGUAGCAAUACCUAGUGGCAGACGGGUGAGUAACGCGUGGUCAACCUACCUUCGAGUGGGGGAUAACUAGCCGAAAGGCUAGCUAAUACCGCAUAAUACCGUAGCCGGCAUCGGCAUCGGUUGAAAGCAGCAAUGCACUCGGAGACGGGACCGCGUCCGAUUAGUUAGUUGGUGGGGUAACGGCCUACCAAGACUCCGAUCGGUAGCUGGUUUGAGAGAACGACCAGCCACACUGGGACUGAGACACGGCCCAGACUCCUACGGGAGGCAGCAGUAGGGAAUCUUGCGCAAUGCGCGAAAGCGUGACGCAGCAACGCCGCGUGGGGGAAGAAGGCUCUCGGGUUGUAAACCCCUUUCAGUUGGGACGAAGCUUCGUCGGUUAAUAGCCGGCUGGAGUGACGGUACCUUCACAAGAAGCACCGGCUAACUACGUGCCAGCAGCCGC